GACGAACGCUGGCGGCGCGCCUAACACAUGCAAGUCGAACGAGAGAGAAGGAGCUUGCUUCUUCGAUCGAGUGGCGAACGGGUGAGUAACGCGUGAGGAACCUGCCUCAAAGAGGGGGACAACAGUUGGAAACGACUGCUAAUACCGCAUAAGCCCACAGGUCGGCAUCGACCAGAGGGAAAAGGAGCAAUCCGCUUUGAGAUGGCCUCGCGUCCGAUUAGCUAGUUGGUGAGGUAAUGGCCCACCAAGGCGACGAUCGGUAGCCGGACUGAGAGGUUGAACGGCCACAUUGGGACUGAGACACGGCCCAGACUCCUACGGGAGGCAGCAGUGGGGAAUAUUGCACAAUGGGGGAAACCCUGAUGCAGCGACGCCGCGUGGAGGAAGAAGGUCUUCGGAUUGUAAACUCCUGUUGUUGAGGAAGAUAAUGACGGUACUCAACAAGGAAGUGACGGCUAACU
rnacentral:rRNA from 1 species